AGAGCUGGCACUGGGGUGUGGUACCAGGAGGCUGCAACAUCUUUCAAACAAUAACUCAAGACACCAUCAGAAGACAAAGGGUGAGCAGAGAAAAUUGAAGGAAAGAUCAAGAGACCUAAAUUAUUAAAGGAGGUGCAUGUGUAGUCAGGAUGAUUCAAUCCCAAUGCCCUUCUGCCUCAAGGUUAAGACUAACUUGAAAAUUGGAAGUAACUGUAACAAGAACAGAUGUCUCACAAUUUUGAUGGAUGCCAGCACAGGAAGACUUAGUGAAAUUGUCCUGGAUACCA